CCUACGGGAGGCUGCAGUCGAGAAUCAUUCACAAUGGGGGAAACCCUGAUGGUGCGACGCCGCGUGGGGGAAUGAAGGUCUUCGGAUUGUAAACCCCUGUCAUGUGGGAGCAAAUUAAAAAGAUAGUACCACAAGAGGAAGAGACGGCUAACUCUGUGCCAGCAGCCGCGGUAAUACAGCGGUCUCAAGCGUUGUUCGGAAUCACUGGGCGUAAAGCGUGCGUAGGCUGUUUCGUAAGUCGUGUGUGAAAGGCGCGGGCUCAACCUGCGAACGGCACAUGAUACUGGGAGACUAGAGUAAUGGAGGGGGAAGCGGAAGUCGCGGGGUAGCAGUGAAAUGCGUAGAUAUCGAGAGGAACACUCGUGGCGAAGGCAGGUUCCUGGACAGUAACUGACGCUGAGGCACGAAGGCCAGGGGAGCGAAAGGGAUUAGAUACCCGUGUAGUC
rnacentral:rRNA from 1 species